UUCUUGAAAAUUAAGCACUUUGGCGGUAUUUUAGUCUAUUCAGAGGAACCUGUUCUAUAAUUGAUAGUCCACAAUUUAAAUUACUUAUAUAAUAAAUUUACAUAUCGCCGUUAUCAGAAUAUUUUCAUAGAAAUUAAAAUAUUCUAAAUUUUUUAAUAGAAAAAUUAUAUCAGGUCAAGAUGUAGUUUGAAUAUAUAAGAAGAGAUGGGUUACAAUAAGAUUACUUAAACGGAAAAGUCUUUUUAAAAGGAUUUUGAAGGUGGAUUUGAAAGUAAUUAUAUUUAAAUUUUUAUUAUGAUUUUAGCUCUAAAAUAUGUACAUAUCGCCCGUCACUUUCAUUUCAUUAUGAAAUAAGUCGUAACAAAGUAGAUGUACUGGAAAGUGCCUCUAGAAGAUUCAAAUUAAAGCUUUUAAAGCAUUUUAGUUACAUUAAAAAGAUUGUUGUAAAUUCAACAUAAUUUGAAAAAAAUAAAUUAUUUAAAUUAUUAGAUAAAUAUAAAUAUAAAUAAAAUAUUAUUAAUAUUUUUAUUAAUGUAAAUGAAAAAAUUAAUUUAAUUAUAGUGUAAUAGUAUUGAGAAAGAAAUUUUGUAUUUAGUUUAAAGAAGUAUUAGUUUUUUGUACCUGGGUAUCAGGGGUGAUUAAUUAAAUUUUAAUUAUUUAAAAUUCUCGAAUUUAAAAGAGCUAUACAUAUAUAGUUUUUAUUGUAGAAUAAAUAUUAUUAAUAUCUGUAUAGAAAUGAAAUGUUAAACGAUUUUAAAUAUAUCUAGUUUUUUAAGAAAAAAAUUUAAUUUUAUUUUUACUUAAUUAUAUAAUUUUAUAACUAAUUUUAUAAUAGUAAAAUUUUAUAUUUUUAGGGAUAAGCUUGAAAAUAUAUCAAUACAAUUUUUAUGUAUUUUAAUUAUUAUUAAAUAAAUAGGAUUUUUAGUUUCCAUUUUUUAUAGUGUUUUAAAACUAGUUUAAUAGAUAAUAAAAUUUAUAUACAAAAAUUUAUAUAUUUUAUUAAAAUAUAAAUUACAAUGAAAAAAAUUUAGAAAAAAUGAUUAAAUUAGUAUAUAAUUUAUUUAUAUAAUAAAAUAAAUGAAAGGUUAAAUAAAGGAAUUCGGCAUACAUAUUUUUCACCUGUUUAUUAAAAACAUGUCCUUUUGAGUAUGAUUUAAGGUCGGGCCUGCCCAAUGAUAACAAAAAUUCAAUGGCCGCGGUAUUUUGACCGUGCAAAGGUAGCAUAAUCAUUAGUUUUUUAAUUGAAAACUAGAAUGAAAGGUUUGAUGAAAAAAUAACUGUCUCUAUUUAAUUUAUAUAGAAUUUUAUUUUUGAGUUAAAAAGCUCAAAUAUUUAUAAAAGACGAGAAGACCCUAUAGAGUUUUAUAUACUAUUUAUUUUAUGAUUUUAGAAUUUUA
rnacentral:rRNA from 1 species